UGUUGGACUCACCUUAAUUUCUCUCCCAGGUUGGUCGGAUGCCCAGAUUUCUGGCUUCACCUUUUCCAAGUCCUCUUAAUGAAUUGCCUCUGCCUCUGGGUGUGGGGCCUCAGUGCCCACCGGCAGUGUUUGCAGCCGAAGUCCGUGCUCUGGAGGAACUUGAAGACACACCUGACGUUUCUCCAGGCGGAAGAUGAUCUGAGCCUCUAACCUGCAUAGUAAAUCUCUGCCAAGUAAAGGAAUCGGGCAGUCUGACGCGUAAAGGAAUUGGAAGAAUUGGAAUUUUUCCAAUUCAGUAAACCAGGCGUGGAAAAGGAACGACUAUAUGCUCAAUAAUAUCCUGCUGGAGCUCCUUGCUGAUGAGUUCCCUCAGGAUACCGUGAGUUUGUCAGUGCUCACCGGCAGUGCUUGCAGCAGCAGUCCGUGCUCUGGAGGCGCUUGAAGACACAUCUGACGUCUCUCCAGGUGAGGCCUCUAACUUGUGUAGUAAAUCUCUGCCAAGUGAAGGAAUCAGGCAGUCUGACACAUAAAAUAAUUGGUGAGUUAUCAAAUCGUUGCCCAGUGUAUUGCUAUAACUGGAUACAGGGAGAAGGCCAGAGAUAAUUCCACCAGACCAACCCAAAGUGUUGCAAUUUUCUUAGUGCUUACAUAGGUUGGGGUUAUGUGCCUAUGCGCAGUAUAGCAUUUGUCUAAGUCUAUUGGUAACUAAUUUUAUUUCAAAUAGAAGGUCAGGCAAAAAAUGCUUGCUAAGUCUGAUUAAAAGGGACCCAGUACCUUCAAGGCCUGUCUACUGUGGUACCGGAGCAAUGACUUCUAUUUUGUUUCUUUUACAGCUUUGUCUGGAGACCUGCUUAGACUCUCCAAUGAAUCCAUUCAAACAGCUGCCUCUCUUACCUUGAUUCGUCUCAGAUUUCAUUGACCCGAGAUGGGUCCUGGCACCAGGAAAGAGACCUCCGACCUUUUACCAGGGUAAUUGUGCAUUGGAGAAAGAGAAGUGAUCAGACAUUUUGGGGACUACUGGACACUGGCUCUGAGCUGACGUUGAUUCCAGGAGACCCAAAACAUCAUUGUGGUCCUCCAGUUCCAAGUAUGGGAUUGUGGAGGUGUGGAGGAAAAGUUAAACAUUAAAUUUGAACUCAGUUGAACGUGGACAGAAACAAUGGUCACCAAUCCCGGAACAGGCUACAUGAACCUCUUGAGGCAUUCAUCCAGCACUGUUUCGGAGAAAUCUGUUCUUGUAUGUUAGUUACUGAAAAGCAACAGACAAUCGCAAAAAUAGGUUGACCUUUUUGUGUCCUUGAGCUCAGGCACAAAGGGUCCUUGGGACUGGGUCAAACAACUCGUUAUGCAAGAGCUAUGGUCCCAGACCACACUGAAGCUCCACAAGACCUCUCCUCGUCUGUGCAUGGAUGGAUGGCUGACUCUGGAGCCCCGGCUUCUCAGUCUGGUGAUGAUUCCUCCACAGUCUAUUGGGUGUAUGUGUGUAUGUGUAUAUAUCUGCCCUCUCCAUUUCCCACUGUGAUUUGCAUAUUAUAUCUGCAUUGUCACAUCCUUGGUAUAAAGGCU